AGAGUUUGAUCCUGGCUCAGAGUGAACGCUGGCGGUAGGCCUAACACAUGCAAGUCGAACGGCAGCACAGAGGAGCUUGCUCCUUGGGUGGCGAGUGGCGGACGGGUGAGGAAUACAUCGGAAUCUACUCUGUCGUGGGGGAUAACGUAGGGAAACUUACGCUAAUACCGCAUACGGCCUACGGGUGAAAGCAGGGGAUCUUCGGACCUUGCGCGAUUGAAUGAGCCGAUGUCGGAUUAGCUAGUUGGCGGGGUAAAGGCCCACCAAGGCGACGAUCCGUAGCUGGUCUGAGAGGAUGAUCAGCCACACUGGAACUGAGACACGGUCCAGACUCCUACGGGAGGCAGCAGUGGGGAAUAUUGGACAAUGGGCGCAAGCCUGAUCCAGCCAUACCGCGUGGGUGAAGAAGGCCUUCGGGUUGUAAAGCCCUUUUGUUGGGAAAGAAAUCCAGCCGGCUAAUACCUGGUUGGGAUGACGGUACCCAAAGAAUAAGCACCGGCUAACUUCGUGCCAGCAGCCGCGGUAAUACGAAGGGUGCAAGCGUUACUCGGAAUUACUGGGCGUAAAGCGUGCGUAGGUGGUUAUUUAAGUCCGUUGUGAAAGCCCUGGGCUCAACCUGGGAACUGCAGUGNAUACUGGAUGACUAGAAUGUGGUAGAGGGUAGCGGAAUUCCUGGUGUAGCAGUGAAAUGCGUAGAGAUCAGGAGGAACAUCCNUGGCGAAGGCAGCUACCUGGACCAACAUUGACACUGAGGCACGAAAGCGUGGGGAGCAGACAGGAUUAGAUACCCUGGUAGUCCACGCCCUAAACGAUGCGAACUGGNUGUNGNNGCAAUUUGGCACGCAGUAUCGAAGCUAACGCG
rnacentral:rRNA from 1 species